CAGAUUCUAUGGAUUGUUCGCAUUUUGAAAACUGGUGAUCAUCUAUGAUAUUAUUUAAUUAUGGCCUAAUCAUGGCACUGUGUGUUGUAAGCUUGCCAGUGGCUCCAAAGGAUUUAUGUUUCUUCGAGCAUGAAUUUAUUCAGAGUAAUUUUAAUGUGGAUACUUUUCUUCAUGAUCACCGAAAAGUUAUAAAACUUGAAACUAUGAGAGAUGAUUUAGGCAUAUAUUUAAAGUUAUUAAGAUCUGCAAUGAUCGAUUUAAUUAACAAGGACUACACAGACUUUGUUAAUCUUUCAAGUAAUCUUAUUGGUCUUGACAAAGCAAUUAAUGGCUUGGAAAUGCCGCUUAGCCAACUUAGAGAAGAAGUCAUGCAAAUUCAGCAAACAUUAGAUGAAGAAAUAACUACUCUAUCUAAUAGUUUGAAUGAUGAUUGCCAAAUAAAAUUACAAAGACAGAGCUUACACAGUUUGCAAUGUGUUUAUAAAUGUUUAAGAAAAUUGUCUUCAAUGCUAUCAGUGAAUAAUUAUAUGGAAAGUUUUACAAAAAUUGAUAUUUUAGAACAAGCUACAGCGGAACUGAAUCAUUUGAAAUUUAAUGUAUCCAGAUGCAGAUCAGAUAUCUCUGUAGAUCAACAGACAGAAAGCAAGAAAUUAGAAGAUCUCUUAAUAACAUAUCUGAAUGAGUUAUUUUUAGCCUGUAUACAUGAAAAAGAUUCUAAUUUAUUAAUUCGUUGUUUGAGAAUAUAUAUUAUGCUUGAUAAUGUUACAACUGCAGAAUUAGUGGUAAAAAGAGAUAUUAUUAGUCCAAUUAUAAAUAAUAUACUUCGAGACGAAGAUUCACAAUCUGAAUUUAAUAAUCUUCAAAGUAUUUACAAUAGAUUAUUAAAUAUUUUAAGCGGAGAACUCAAACAACUUUUAGACAUCACAUUAUACUCCAAUAGGAUACAAGUAAAGGGUUUUAAUUUCUUAGUAAAUAGUUUUUGGAUUGAAAUAGAGGAAAAAAUUGAUCAGCAAUUGAAACAUAUUUUUGCACCUGGAAAUCCUGAAUUAUUCCAUAAAAGAUAUACAGAAACAAUGUGGUUUCGAAAAAAGCUAGAAGAAUUCUAUGAUGUACCUGCUCAUAUAAACAUAUUGAAAGAUCAUCUACAAUAUAAAAAUUUUCUUAAAAAAUGGAAUUUACCAGUUUAUUUUCAAAUUCGUUUUCAAGAAAUAGCUGGUACAGUUGAAAUAGCACUUAAAGAGUCAAUUUCACCUGAAUUGAUUAAAGGAUCUGCAAAUAUCCUAAUACUAGAAGAAUUCUCUCUUCACACAACAUCUAUUGUUUGGAAUUGUUUGCACAAGAUAUGGUCUGAAAAUAUAUAUCUAUCUCAACUUUUUCAAGAAUUUUGGAAAUUGACCCUGCAAGUAUGUUCAAGAUAUCAAACAUGGGCUUGCACAGCAAUAAGACAAAAGUGGCAUGAAAAUAAUAAGUCUGAAAGUAUAGCAAAUAUUAAUCGUUAUUCUAAAUUGGAUUUCUUGAUAUAUUUAUACUGUGAUGUGGACAAAUUUGUGAAUAGAUUACCAAAUCUCUUACGGAUAGUUCAGUUAAAAAAUCCAAAUCCAAAUCCUACUAUAUUUAAAUUAUUAGAAGAUUGUUUGACUGAAACAUCUAAAACAAUUACAAUGAUUUUACCACUUACUACAGAAAAAAUAGUAAAUGAACUUAUAAUGCAUUGUGUGAUAUAUUUGAAACAAGUCAGUGACAUUCCAAGAUUAUAUAGACGGACGAAUAGAGAAGUACCUAUUAAACCUUGUGCAUAUGUUAAAAAUGCAUUAAGUUUUUUGACUAGUUUCCGUACUAAUUAUAAUGAUUUUGUACCAAUGAAUGUUACCAUAUGGUUACAAUUAGCACUUUCUUUAUUAACAGAACAUUAUUUAACGUCUGUAACUGAUGUAUUGACAUCUGUUCAAAAAACUGAAGAGAGUUUAAGAAGAUUGAAAAGAAUACGCGAUAAAUCGACAGGAGUACUUUCACCAGAUGCUCAAGGAAUUAGUGAUGAUGAAAAAAUUCGUAUUCAAUUACAAAUUGAUGUAAAUGCAUACAGUGCAAUGAUUACUGAACUUAAUGUACCAGUUUCAGAUAUAUCUCAUUUACAAGAGUUAGCACAAGCUGUUGAAGCAGCUUUAAAAAAAUAAUAUUCUAAAACUAUUUAUCACUUCUAGCUUGACUCGUGUUGACUUUAACAACAAGUGCAAGAAAAAAGAAAUAAAAGUGUGUUAAGGGAACACUAUACCUUUUCUUGAUUUAUUGUAUCAAUGUGUAUGCUUAUGCUUAGGUAGGCUGUAUCUUCUUGCUAUUUACUAACAUGUGUAAAUCAAAGAAUUGAGUUGACAUCAAACAAUAUAAAAUCAUCAAUAUUUUCAAAGUAGCUUGCAUAAAAUCAAUACAUAAUCUGUAACAGUAAAAAACAUGCGACUUUUAGAUAGGUCAAUUACAUAUAUAUAACUACGGAUAUGUAUAUAUAUGUUCUUUUUUAUAAUGAAUGAGAAUCUAUAAAUCAAUAUUAUUUUACUAAACAGUUUAGCAGUUAAACAAUAAAGAUAUCAAUAUAUAAUUUCUUGACGAAAAUAUUAUACUAUUUAUACUUAUUUUAUAUUUUAGGAAACAAUUUUUUUAGCAAUAAGAAGAUCCUUUCAAACAUACAGAAGCAUGUAGUAAUUGACACUCAUACAUCUCUAUUGGUGUUUCGUGAUUAAUUUCUUCUGUAUUUAAUUAAAAAAAAUAAUAUCUAUAAAUAUAUAUAUAUAUAUAUAUAUAUAUAUAUAUAUAUAUAUAUUGUCAAUAAUACAUAUAUGUACAUCUAGAAGCGAUAGACCAUUAUAUAUUAUGUACAGUAACAAGAAAAAUGAAAAACGGAUUUCACCAAUAGAAUGUGCAUAGACAUUAAGCAUGUUUUGUAUUAAAAAUAACAAACGAUAUAAGGAGAUAUAUUUCCUAGAAUAGCUUAAAAAAAGAACUCGCGACAGUAGUUGAGAAACAUAAUUGUUAUCUUAAACAAAAAAGAAAAAAACAGUGAGAAAAGCUUAAUAGUUAGAUAGAUGAGAUCAAAGAUUGCGUUAUCUGAUUAAUAAUCAAUGAUAUAUAUUUAAAUUUUCUAAUUUUCAUUUAUAGUACACAGAGUUCAUUUGUUUUUGUGAAAAACACAAACAAUUAUAUGAUAAAUUUAUGCAGUGCAUUGCAAUAGUUUACAAUAAGUUUUUAAAAUUUUUAGAAAUUCCUUUCUAAUAUCCUUUUUCAUUUCCUUUCACGCGAAAAUUGUACUCAAAAAUUACCUUUCUUUUUAAACAAGAUUUUUAUGAAAAAAAUGUCAUUUCUUUAAAAAUUUGUAAAAGUAAUAAAGUAUUUUUACUAUCUAUCUUUCAAAUUAAAAUUGAAUCAGAAAAGAAAUCAAGAUAAUUUUUAACAUAAAUAAACUCUUACAAACGCAUGAGGUAGUGAAUAGCCUUAAUGAACAUUGCUCCUUUUACUUCAGUAAUUUUUUAAUUAUGUAUAGUUUAUAACUAUUAUUAUAGAGUAUAAUCAAUAUAUAAUAACAGUUGUUAUGUAAAAAUGUAUUUGUUUAUGAAUACAGUAAUUUGAUGUUUUCCCAAGAAAUUUGUCAGAUUCAAGGUGGCUUUUGAAAAUGAGAAGAUUACUAUACCGAUAGCUUAUUCUGUAAAUAUGAAUGUA